GGCAUGGACACGUGUAGGUGAAAGACCAAGUUUGUCUGUGACCAAGUCCAAGUGUCAGACGACAACUGAUUGAGUCAGACCAGUCAGACUGACGUGGAAAGCGUGAAAAUCAGCCAAGUAGCCAACGUGUAGUUCUCAGCUGGUAGUUCUCAGUUACGGAUAUAUGAUUCUUAAUAGAAAAUGGUGGAUAGAAAAUGUUUAACCAAAAAUUGAUACACUUUCCAUGGAUUAGAGAUUAUGUAUUAAGCGAGGACAACAAAAAUAUGACAUUGACAAAAAAAAGAAAAGCUCGUGUUUCCCGCCUAUCAAAGCGUGCAAACGACGAUGGCACAUAUAAUGGACAAAUUACCGACUAUUCAUUCUGUGUCAACGUCGUUUUUCUCAACAGGCUGUUCAGGAAUGUCUAAAAGAUAAAGCUCAUGGUCACGUUUUCAACAAAUUUUCUGAUGUUCUCGGUGCUGCAAUUGUGUUAACGGAUUACGAAAAGACAAAAUAUAUUCCCACCAAGAAACCAAAUUUAAAAGUUGCAGAUAGGCAACACUGACAGUUGCCCUUGUAGUUUAUCAAUACAUCAUACAGUUCUGGCAGCUUUGGUUGAGGCUUUGGUAUAUGUUGUAAUGCAAAGACAAAUUUAGUUAAGUUAUAAGUAUAAAUGGCUCAAUUCAUUUCAAAGGAUAAAAAGAUCUUUGGAUGUUUUUUAUUUGGCAAAGUGAAGAGAAGUAUUUUAGAUUUGUUUAACAUUUUGCAUAAUUAGUAAAUAAUUAGUGAACUUUCUAGCAGUCAAACCAGCUGAAACAUUAGUUUCUAUAAUACAAAUAUUUCAAGAAAAUUACUAUACACUCCAUUUGAAAAUUCAUUUGUUGUUUUUCAAGUAAAUGAACACAAAAAUAUUUGGAGUAAUUUUAGGAUCUUUCUCAUGUAAUGAAAAAAUCUUGCAAGUAGAAUUAAUGCCCUAGAAGUUUGUGAAGAAAUCAGUAUGUUUCGAUUUCAUAAUUUACAUUAUUAAUAGACAUUAUGUGAACUUUUUCCUAGAAAAAAGAAUCUGGUUAGUGAAAUGGGACCAUUUUGUGAUUGUUGAUUUUCAAUUUUUCCUGGGCAUAUUUAGUUGUUAGUUUGCAGAGCAUGUCAUUGAAAAAGUAAAUGAAAUUAUGAAACAAGUUA